rnacentral:rRNA from 1 species
AACGCGAAGAACCUUACCUGGGCUUGAACCGCACAGGACCAUUCCUAGAAAUAGGGACUUCCCGCAAGGGACCUGUGUAGAGGUGCUGCAUGGUUGUCGUCAGCUCGUGUCGUGAGAUGUUGGCUUAAGUGCCGCAACGAGCGCAACCCCUGUGUUUAGUUGCCUGCGAAAGUGGGAUCUCUAAACAGACUGCCUCGCUUUAAACGAGGAGGAAGGUGGGGAUGACGUCAAAUCAGUAUGGCCCUUACGGCCAGGGCUGCACACGUGCUACAAUGCAUGGUACAGAGGGACGCAAGACCGCGAGGUGGAGCAAAUCCCAUAAAACCAUGCCCAGUUCAGAUUGAAGGCUGCAACUCGCCUUCAUGAAGCCGGAAUCGCUAGUAAUGGCGCAUCAGCUACGGCGCCGUGAAUACGUUCCCGGGCCUUGUACACACCGCGCAUA